ACAGCUGUUGGAGCUUCAAGAGCAGCAGCGUCAAGUGGAGCUUCAACAGCAGCACCAACAAUUGGAUCGUCACCAAGAGCAUUGGUUACUCCAGCAGCAACAGCAACUAAGGAACCAUCAAUUGAAGUUGCAGCAACAGAGGCAGCAACAGCAGCAACAACUGGCCCUUGAAAGGUUUCUACAGCAUCAGAUGUCCAAUGUUGGUUAUGGACAGAUGG
rnacentral:lncRNA from 1 species